UACGAAGGGGGCUAGCGUUGUUCGGAAUUACUGGGCGUAAAGCGCGCGCAGGCGGCUAUCCAAGUCAGUGGUGAAAGCCCGGAGCUCAACUCCGGAACUGCCAUUGAAACUGUUUAGCUUGAGGAUGAGAGAGGUGAGUGGAAUUCCCAGUGUAGAGGUGAAAUUCGUAGAUAUUGGGAAGAACACCUGAGGCGAAGGCGGGUUGCUGGGCCGACACUGACGCUGAGGCGCGAAAGCCAGGGGAGCAAACGGG
rnacentral:rRNA from 1 species